UUAUACUAUGUUUAAUGAUUAAUGUUUGUGUGCACCGUAACUAUUUCUGGCAUUACGCCAGUUUUGCCGCUGUUUCGUGAUCUGUAUAAUUAUCAGUGUAAUCGCGCUAACACUUGCGUUAGCACGGGUGCUUAUAACACUAAUACCUGCAAUAUAUGUUUAGUUCUUCUUAUUAUGGGCAUAAUCCUGUAUUCUACAGUUUGUUAUCUGUUGCUAUAAUAAUGCUGCAUAACGUGAUUUAUGCUAUUAUAUUUCUUUCCGUAGUUUAUAUCCUUGCUUAGUGUAUAUAUGAGAGUUCAUGAUGUUUCAUUUGUAAUACGGUUGAAUCCGUAUGUAGACAGGUUAUUUUUUAUGUCUUAUUUGUUUAUUACAGAAACUACCUCAGUUGAAUACUGGCAUGUGUACAAGGUUGAAACUUGCAUAAAUAAAAGCGAAAUCUGAUGACUCCUCCCUAAUCAGAGUACUGAAGUGGUUAACAGCCUUUAAAACUAGCAAUCAGUGGGGUAAUUCUCAACAAUAAAAGUAAAAAUAAAUAAAAUAGCAGCGCUUUCUUUGCUUUUAAUGACACACAGCUGCUAAGUUCCAUUAAUCCGAAGCAGGAGGGGGUAGUAAUGUACAUACGCUGGUUGCCAGCCGCCGUUAAUACUCAAACAAUUCCAAGUCAACUCGAACACGCAAAACCCCGGUAUGAAGCAUUGUCAUGAGCAUGCCAAACCAACAGAUGGCGAUAUAUUCCUUAACCCAGAGAAGCCACUCCAGUCUCGUCUUGCCAUGAACAAGGAAAAAAUGCGGGAGCUGACUUCGCAGACGUACGUGGUUCAGGUCAUUGGCACUGUUGUAUCACAACAUCAUUUGCUGGCAUGUACAUCUAGGAUGUGAUCAAUCCAGAUGAGAUUCUCUCCAAUGCCAGCAAACCGACAGUGGAAGACACGAGCCAGCACUUCUCCCACCACAUUGCCUCAGGCUUUUGAGAUACCGACUUAUAACUGCUUCUCCCCCCUAUGUUGGGAUCACCGGGGCCUCCAUCGCCCGGCAUGUACACGCUACAUUAGGUGUAGCAAUUAUGUGAGCUGCAGUCUGGAUCCUGCCUCUGUCAGAUGACCUAACACAAAUGGAAAGAUGACAUCGACCCUUGCAAGGACUUCAGACGAUCCCAGCACUGGACUACAUACAGUGGUAAUCAUAUUUUCAGUAGUCCGUGUCAAAUUUUCUUUCAAGUGUUUGGGUGAGAUCUAGACCGAGGACUAAGGCGUAUACUAGGACAGAACUAAGUGUUGUGGCCCACAGGUGAUCCUAAAGCAACAAAGAGGAACCAUGGAGAGGAAGAAGUGGUGUCCAGAUGUUUAAAAGGCGGUGUUCGGGACAGGAAACAAAGGCAACAAAGAGGAACCUCUAAGGUUUAAAGGCACUGCUUGCAGAGACGAGUGCAGAAAACAAGACAGAAGACCUGUCGAGAAUGUUUUAUGAUUAAAUGUUUUUGUUAUGUACAUGCACAUUAUUAUUUACAAUAUAUUUCUAAGAUACAUAAAUAUGUGACCUUGUAUAUGAAAUCCAGGCUACUGUCUUAAAAUCUAAUGACAU